UACGUAGGGUGCAAGCGUUAUCCGGAAUUAUUGGGCGUAAAGAGCUCGUAGGCGGUUUGUCGCGUCUGUCGUGAAAGCCCACGGCUUAACCGUGGGUCUGCGGUGGAUACGGGCAGACUAGAGGCAGGUAGGGGAGAAUGGAAUUCCCGGUGUAGCGGUGAAAUGCGCAGAUAUCGGGAGGAACACCGGUGGCGAAGGCGGUUCACUGGACCAUAACUGACGCUGAGGCGCGAAAGCUAGGGGAGCAAACAGG
rnacentral:rRNA from 1 species